GCUCCUGUAGCUCAGUGGAACAGAGCGAUCGCACUAGUGAGCGAUAAGUCACAGGUUUGAGUCCUGUCGGGAGCA